UUGAAAAUUAUGAUGCCAUCCCAAACAGUCAGCUGGAUGAAAUCAUCAGAGAUAUUACUGCACACACUGCAAAUGCUGGUGUGAGACUGGUUCAAGGUAGUAUUAGAGGAAGGGGAUACAGAGUUCAAAGAGAAAGGUUCAGAGAGAGGAUGCGUAUUAUUGAUCCAGCAAGAAUUCUGAUACGACAAAGACGUCCCAACAGAAAAAGAGUGUACAUUGUCAGAGGAUCAAACCACUUAUGGCAUAUAGACUCCAACCAUAAACUGAUUGCAUGGAGAUUUGUUCUUCAUGGCUGCAUUGAUGGAUUCAGCAGAACGGUUAUUUGUUUGAGAUUUGCCUCAAAAAAUCGUGCUGCAACAGUACUGUCUUUCUUUCAGAUUGGAGUCUCCUAAUUUGGUUUGUCAUCAAGAGUAAGGGGAGACAGGGGCCAUGAAAAUGUACAUGUUGCACAGAACAUGAUCGAAAGAAGAACAACAGACCAGGAAAGCUUUAUUGUGGGAAGGAGUGUGCAUAACCAAAGGAUUUGAACGUCUCUGGGGGGAUGUGAACAGGGUUGUGUCAGACUUUUAUAGGCAGCUUUUCCAGUACAUGAGUCCACUAGCAUUGUGGAAUUCUGGUAUGA